rnacentral:rRNA from 1 species
AUUGAACGCUGGCGGCAGGCCUAACACAUGCAAGUCGAGCGGAGCGGCGGACGGGUGAGUAAUGUCUGGGAAACUGCCUGUUGGAGGGGGAUAACUGGUGGAAAAGGGCGCUAAUACCGCGUACUAUCAGCUGAGGCUAGGUGGGAUUAGCUAGUUGGUGGGGUAAAGGCCUACCAAGGCGAGGAUCCGUAACUGAUCUGAGAGGAUGAUCAGUCACACUGGAACUGAGACACGGUCCAGACUCCUACGGGAGGCAGCAGUGGGGAAUAUUGGACAAUGGGCGAAAGCCUGAUCCAGCCAUGCCGCGUGUGUGAAGAAGGUCUUCGGAUUGUAAAGCACUUUAAGUUGGGAGGCGUUACCAACAGAAUAAGCACCGGCUAACUUCGUGCCAGCAGCCGCGGUAAUAC